rnacentral:rRNA from 1 species
UACGGAGGGUGCGAGCGUUGUCCGGAAUCACUGGGCGUAAAGAGUGUGUAGGCGGUUUUGUAAGUUUGGUGUGAAAUCUCCCGCUUAACUGGGAGGGUGCGCCGAAAACUGCAAGGCUUGAGUACGGAAGAGGGGAGCGGAAUUCCCAGUGUAGAGGUGAAAUUCGUAGAUAUUGGGAGGAACACCGGUGGCGAAAGCGGCUCCCUGGUCCGAUACUGACGCUCCAUGUGCGAAAGCGUGGGGAGCAAACAGG